rnacentral:rRNA from 1 species
AUUGAACGCUGGCGGCAGGCCUAACACAUGCAAGUCGAACGGUAACAGGAAGAAGCUUGCUUCUUUGCUGACGAGUGGCGGACGGGUGAGUAAUGUCUGGGAAACUGCCUGAUGGAGGGGGAGAACUACUGGAAACGGUAGCUAAUACCGCAUAAUGUCGCAAGACCAAAGAGGGGGACCUUCGGGCCUCUUGCCAUCGGAUGUGCCCAGAUGGGAUUAGCUAGUAGGUGGGGUAACGGCUCACCUAGGCGACGAUCCCUAGCUGGUCUGAGAGGAUGACCAGCCACACUGGAACUGAGACACGGUCCAGACUCCUACGGGAGGCAGCAGUGGGGAAUAUUGCACAAUGGGCGCAAGCCUGAUGCAGCUAUGCCGCGUGUAUGAAGAAGGCCUUCGGGUUGUAAAGUACUUUCAGCGGGGAGGAAGGGAGUAAAGUUAAUACCUUUGCUCAUUGACGUUACCCGCAGAAGAAGCACCGGCUAACUCCGUG